UGGGGAAUAUUGCACAAUGGGGGAAACCCUGAUGCAGCGACGCCGCGUGAGCGAAGAAGGUUUUCGAAUCGUAAAGCUCUUUCCGAUGGGAAGAUAAUGACGGUACCAUAGGAGGAAGCCCCGGCUAACUACGUGCCAGCAGCCGCGGUAAUACGUAGGGGGCAAGCGUUGUCCGGAAUCACUGGGCGUAAAGGGUUCGCAGGCGGAAAUGCAAGUCAGUUGUGAAAGGCAGCGGCUCAACCCUUGUAAGCAAUUGAAACUGUAUUUCUUGUGAUGUGGAGAGGUAAGUGGAAUUCCUAGUGUCGCGGUGAAAUGCGUAGAUAUUAGGAAGAAUACCGGUGGCGAAGGCGACUUGCUGGACACAAACUGACGCUGAGGAACGAAAGCGUGGGUAGCAAACAGG
rnacentral:rRNA from 1 species